AGGACGAACGCUGGCGGCGUGCUUAACACAUGCAAGUCGAACGAGACCCCUUCUUCGGUUGGGUGUUCUAGUGGCGAACGGGUGAGUAACACGUGGGCAACCUGCCCCCGGCUCUGGGAUAACUCCAAGAAAUUGGGGCUAAUACCGGAUAUGACCGCUGACCGCAUGGUCUGGUGGUGGAAAGUUUUUUCGGCUGGGGAUGGGCCCGCGGCCUAUCAGCUUGUUGGUGGGGUAUGGCCCUACCAAGGCGACGACGGGUAGCCGGCCUGAGAGGGUGACCGGCCACGACUGGGACUGAGACACGGCCCAGACCCCUACGGGAGGCAGCAGUGGGGAAUAUUGCGCAAUGGGCGAAGCCUGACGCAGCGACGCCGCGUGGGGGAUGACGGCCGUUCGGGUUGUAACGUCUUUCAGCAGGACGAAGCGAAGUGACGGUACUGCAGAAGAAGCACGCCAACUACGUGACCAGCAGCCGC
rnacentral:rRNA from 1 species